UUAGCUGCCUGUUAGCUGUCUGUUAGCAGCCUGUUAGCUGCCUGUUAGCUGCCUGUUAGCAGGCUGAAGCCGCGCUGCUUCACAGAAACAUGAAGACGCGUUUAAAGACUGUCGGACCUUUCUGCUCUGUUCUCUGGCGACUAACGUAAUAAACUCAUUGCAGGUUCUGAAGCCAAGAAAAUAAUGUAUUGCAGAUUGUAGGAGGUUAAGGUCUCUUUUGUUGGGACAGUGGAAACAAUAAAGGAGCAUGAAGUGUCAAAAGCAUUGCAAGUAAACAGACAAAGACAACAAAGUGUUGCGUUUAGGUCCCUGGUCCUCAUGAAGUUGUUACGCCUUUGCCAAUUUGUUAAAUUGCCUUGCAAAUAAAUGCUUUGCUAUUUGUUAAAAUCCAAAUCCUUUCAUGUAAUGAUGUUUCACAUGUCAUUUAUAUUCGCUCACACAAACACUUCCACUCAGCAAAAAGAGUGUUGAAAUUUCAGGGUUAAACAUUUCCGAGUUGAUUUUCACUCCCAGAGUGUAAUUUUAACACAUUCUGAUUUAAAUGGUGUUCAGUGUUGGAGUUAUUUGGCAGAGUUGAUCAUGUCAGUGUUAACCCAACUCCGCAGAGACGUAAUUAAGCUCGGCCCACGCCUUUCACCUCUUCGGUUAGAGACAGAGAAGACAAGUCUGCGCCAUUUUCUACCUCUCAUGCAGUACCACACGGUAAGUGCAAUUAAGUUAAACUUACUGAAACAAUUAAAAAUUGAUGCUGAGAAUUUCAGUAUGAACAAUUAAAUAUCUACAGAGAAUAUAUGCCUUACACAGCCGUGUUUGUUGCCAGGACUGAACAGUAAAUUUGUCCUCGUGGUUAGCUAGCUAGUUAGCAGUGUACGGUAAGCUAGCUAACAGUUUAUUACUAAAACUAUCUCCAACUUUAUCAAUAAUGAUUUAACAAUUCAUAGGCAUGCUCAAAGCUAGGAAAUACAAAGCAUUAUGAUUUUUAACUAUAUAAAAUCUUGUUUGAGGCUGGAGCUGUUUUUUUUUCCUCUUUGAAGAUCAAAGGGACCGCAAAAAAACGUGUCCCAACAUGCAGACGGUGUUUCACGUGUCUAGUUCACGUGUCUAGUUCGCGUGUCUAGUUCGCGUGUCUAGUUCACGUGUCUAGUUCUCCAUCAGAUUCUAUGACCUGCAGUGUUGGAAAAAGUACUCAUUUACUUAAGUAAAAGUAUGUAAGUAUUACCAUUACUAUAAUUACCAAGUUAAAGCUAAAGUACAAAAUUAGCAGAAAAUCGGGGUGUGACUGAUAUAUAUGAAAUACCUUUAAGUGCAUCAUUGAAUACUUAUGAGUCGGUGCAUAAGCAGCCGAUUUUCUGGAAAGUAGUACUUUUUCCAAUACUGCAGAUCACAGAAUCUGAUGGGUCACCAAAAAUGGUGUAACACUGUCGACUUUUUACCGUUGUUGCUUAAAUGUUCAUUUACUUUGUCAAACUUCAUUGCAUGUCUCAGUCAAAAUGCUGGUCCAGGUGAAGUACAGCCAACAGCAGAAGUAUGUAAAGUUGGACGACGAUGAAGGACUGUUUGACUUUCUGCAAUUCCAUGAAAAGGUCAUGGAGAGAUUUGCCCUGCCACCUGAUGCAAAUGUUAUAUACAAGGAUGCAACAGGGACAGAAGUUGAUGCAGAAAUAUUCAGCGACCUCGCUGGACAAGGCAAUGUGGUCCUGACAGUUUUCUCAGAUCAGGAAUUCUCUGAUUUCUCCUUGUCUUCUGAGACGUCUGACUCAAGCUUCAGCUCAAGUGCAUCAACUACAAUCCUAGAUGUUCCUAACAAGAGACAAAGAAUUGAGGAUACACGUGAUGCUGUGUCUGCUAAACAGAAGCUGUGCUAAGAGGCAAGUCCGGAGGUGAAGAAGUACUACAGGAGUACCAAACAACAGAAACCCUAACAGAUGCUGCAAGAAGACAAAUGGUUAAUAUCCUGGUGGCUCACAUGAUUGACAAUCAUGGGCACUGCCCCACUAAAACAAUCAGAAGAUUAUGCACGUGGGAUAGUGAUGCUGUUCCCUUCCCUUAAGGAUCCAUACUCCAAGAAGGGCUAUGAACACUUCUAUGAUGCUGCAAGCAGCACGGGAUACAUUUCUUGGCGUCUGAAAACAGUCCAGAGGAAGAUUCGUCAAGGAUCUGCACAGCCACCAAAUAGCCCAAUUGACUUUUCUCCAGGAGGCCCAAAUUGCCAAAGGACUGUUAAUGUUGAAGGGCAGCUUGAUGGUGAUGCUUGCCAAGAGGCCAUGUCUUUGCUUAACCAUACAGCAGACAAUUCCCUGAUUUUCCAGAAGAUGAGUGAGACCUUUCAGCAUCGUCAGAAGCUUGUUAAUGACCCAGGCAGAAGUGUUGAUAUACUCUCCAGCUUCCCGAGAUUUCUGGAUACAAAAGGAUUGGUGGACCAAGACUUCACUCUCCUAUUUGACGAAGACACAUCCUCCAGGCUUCUUCAGAAAUGGGAUUUGUUCUUCAAGCCAAAUGUCAUUAAAGAGGCUAAGCGGCUCACCUCAACACCAGAGUUGCGUCGCUUGGUGCAGUCAGCAGAAAGUCCCCCAGGAAGUGAUCUUGAUGAGGCAACAACCUACGACCAAGAAAUGGCCUCCCUGUUGUUGCUGUUACAUCUCCUUCCACCACCUCCAGGGGGACUGAAGUCUCCAAAAAUGAGUGCAUGUGAUGCAGUUGAAAGACUUGUUGUCUUUCAUAAGUCAUGCUGCAGUUUGGAGGAGCAUCUCCGCAACCAGCAGGGUCGGCAGCCGUACCUCCUCGCUGUUGGGCGUCAGAAGAGCAAGAUUGACAGCUUCUACAUCACCAUGGAUAAGCGUCUCAUCCCAUGCAAGGCAAACCGCUCCCUCGGGGCAUGUGAUGAACUUUUCAAAGCACAUUUUGUGUUUAAUUUGUCUUACGAUGUGGCACUUGUGAAUUUUUAUACAUUCCUGCAGACAACAGUGUAUAAGAUUGAUGUGGGGAAAAUGAAGGAGUCACCCAGAGUUAAAGACUUGAGAGCAAGACUGCUUAACCAGCCAGUAGCAUUCUCACCCUGUGAGUAAGAAGCUAUAACAAUGCUGACCUGUUUCAUGUGUCAGAAAAAUUAUCCCAGCAGUCAGCAGUUGAUUUCACAUUUCAGAGUUGAACAUGGUUACUAUCCUGGACCCAAGUUCAAAUUGUUUUGUUCUCAGCAAGGCUGUAGGCAUCAGUUCCUAACAUAUGCAGGUUUUCGAAAGCACCUUAAUAGUGUUCAUAGCAUUUUUCAGCAAACUCAAACUUCAACUGUUGCAUGUUCAUCUAGUGAGUCAGUUGCAACUUCAUCUCAGGCACAUACUUUGGAGGACCAAUUUAUUCCACAAAAUCAAUGUAGUUCUUCCAGUAUUUCUUCUGAGGCCAAUGAUUCAGGACUUACUAAAGAUCCAACUAAAGAAAUGUGUGCAUCCAUCGUGGCCAAAUUACAGGGGAGUGGGAUAUCCAACAGUUUGGUAUUCUCAAUUGUAGGAGAUUUGGAAGAACUAACGAGUGAACUUCGCUCACAAGCAAAGCAUACAGCUAUUUCUGCUUUACCUAUAACUGACCCCAACAUAUCUGUGAUAAAUGAAUCUUUUGAAGAUUAUGAAAAUCCGUUUUCAAAUCUGAACACAGAAUGGAAACAAAAUAAAUACUUCCACCAAAAAUGGGGAGUUGUUGAGCCAGUAGAAAUAACACUGGGAGUGAGAUAUGACAACAGGCGAAAUCAGAAAUCCGGUACUUAUGAUCAAGUACCUGUGAAGGAUACUUUUAUCUAUGUGCCAAUUUUAGAAACAUUGAAGUUCAUGUGCAGAAAUCCAGACAUUUGUGUUUUGCUAAAGAAGGAGUGUAGAUCAGAGCCUGACACUUAUACUGACUUUUUUGAUGGAAGUUAUUUUAAAACCCACCCUUUGUUUACAGCUAAUAAACAUGCAUUGCAAAUUCAACUAUACUAUGACGAUUUUGAAACAGCCAAUCCCCUUGGCUCCAAAUGUGGAAUACACAAAAUUGGCUGUAUUUAUUUUGUUGUAAGAAAUUUGCCCCCAAAAUUUAAUUCGGUUUUGAUGAACAUUCAUUUGGUAUCACUUUUUCACACACAAGAUCUGCGCAAGUAUGGUUUUGAUGUUAUACUAGAACCGUUGAUAAAUGAUGUGAAAAAACUAGAAAGCCAAGGGCUAAGUCUUCCAUUUGUAGAUGAGCAGGUAUAUGGUACAAUCUGUCAGAUUACUGGAGAUAAUCUAGGGAUGCACACAAUUCUUGGUUUUAAUGAGUCAUUUAGUAGCCGUCAUUUCUGUUGCCUUUGUUUGAUUGAGAAGAAUGAUUGUCAAACGGUAUACAGUGAGGAUGAUCCUAAAGUGAUCCUUCGUGGAAAAGAUAUGUUUGAUAUGCAUUGCCAGUCUCUCCAGGAAAACCCACAAUUUAAGUCACUUUAUGGUUUGAAAAAAAGAUCUGCACUUAAUUCAUUGAAUUAUUUCCAUGUUUGCAAUAACUAUUCAUUUGAUAUCAUGCAUGAUCUUCUUGAGGGUGUGGUUCAGUAUGAGAUCAAAUUGCUUUUUGGAUAUCUCACACAACACUUUAUGGAUUUUUAGAACGAAAAAAUCGUCCUACAAAGAUUAUUUUGGAGUGCUGGCAAUGGCAUUGGUUUGAAUUCUAUUCAGACAUUGUGUCUUGUGAAAAACAUCCCACUGUUGUUUGGUGAAAUUAUUCCUGCAGGAAACAAAAACUGGAAUUUGUUACUGUUGUUACUUCAAAUAAUGAACAGUUGUUUCACCUUCUCUCACUCUAGGUAUGACUAUAUUUAAAGCAUUUGAUUGUUGACCACCACAAACUCUUUAAGCACUUGUAUCCACAUAGAAACUUGAUACCUAAGCAUCAUUUUAUGAUCCAUUACCCAUCUUCUAUAAGGAAAAUUGGCCCCUCAUUAUAUACGUGGUGUAUGAGGUUUGAGGCCAAACACAAGCUGUUUAAAGAUUCUUUAAAAAAUUUCAAAAACAUAACCAAAUCGCUUGCUAUAAAGCAUCAGAUGGCCAUUGCUUAUCACUGGGAAACCUUCACCCUCAAAAAUGAGUAUGGGCCCAUUAAAUCUUUUCUCUUCAGAGAUGAGAAUGUGGUCAACAAUGAAAUGCUUGAAACAAUCUUGUCAAAAGAUGUUUUCUCAACUAGUUGGGUUAAAGUUGAUGGUGUAGAGUAUAAAGCUGGACUAGUUAUUUGCAGUGCAAUGGAAGAAGACAUGCCAGUCUUUUGUCAAAUAAGUGAUGUACUUUUGGUUGAAGAUCACUUAUUUUUUUUGACAAACAAGCUAUUUACAGAGAAUUUUGAUGACCAUCAUCAUGCAUUCAGAGUAUUACGAAGUGCGGAAAGAUGUUUACUAAAAAUGUCUGAGCUUAAAUUUCAUAAACCGUUUGAUAUUCAAAGCUCAUACAAUGUUUCGGAUGAAAGUUUGUACAUUAUACCUUCAUUCACAAUGUUUUAAUUCAACUGACUGCAAGGGAGAAAAGGAAUAAAUGUUUUUGUUUAUUGUGAUGAAUUCUUAUUAA
ensembl:lncRNA